rnacentral:ncRNA from 1 species
AAUUAGCCCCGUAACUUUGGGAGAAUGGGUGCCUCCUCAUAAAGAAGGUCGCAGUGAUCAGGCCCGAGCGACUGUUUACCAAAAAGACAGGUCUCCACAAAGUCAUAAGACAAUGUAUGGGGGCUGACGCCUGCCCAGUGCCAGAAAGUCAAGGAAGUUGGUGACCUGAUGACAGGAGAGCCGCGACUGAAGCUCCGGUGAAUGGCGGCUGUAACUAUAACAGUCCUAAGGUAACUGGUUCUGCAAAGUUCAAACACUUCAAAAAGCACAAAAACCAUAAAUACCCUG